UAAUGAAAUAUAUAAAAAUAUCAAAACAAUAACAUAAUUUACAUUCCUAGCUAAAUUUGCCAUUAUUUUGAUAUUGUGAGAAAUUAUUUAUAAACAUUAGGCCCCAUAACAUAUUUUACUCUUAAUAUACCAUUAACUAUUAUAUUGUAUAUUUCAAGCAUAACUUUUCAAUUCGACGCAUCUCGCAAAAGUAAACAAAUCCGGAUUCUCAGCUGUGUGUUUGAUUCGCAAUGGAUUCUAUUUGAUGCACAUCAAGUUAUGUUAAUUUAGAACUCAAACAAUUAAAGAGUAUAAUUUGUAAAACGACGUAUCUAUCUACCCUAACAACCCUACGCUGCGCAAACGUUCCUAAAUAGGAGAAGCCAGAGUAGAUCGCGGGGCAACGGUGGCUACGUUCAUCAAAGUGAAUUUGAUUUUUAAGUUCGUUUCGUUUUGAGUUUUUAAUUUCCAUAAAAUAAAACUGUUUUUACAUUGAUUGACUUGUUGAUUGAUGAACUUAAAUUUUAUUGAAGAAAAAAAAGAAAUAGCUCAUUUAACCUUUCUUCUGCUACUUUGAAAUAAUAACUGAAUCUACCAUUAUUUUAAAAUUGAAUUUGAACAACUAAACCUAUCAUUAUUUUGAUCGCCACAUAAACAGCUAAAUUUGUUCUUAUUCUGUUAUCAAUAACUCAAGAAUGUCAUAUUUUGUUAUUCACCGAUAACAGUUAAUUUGGGUCUUAUUUUGUUCUCAAUAUCUCAAUAAUAACUUAUUUUGUUCUUCAAUUUAAUCCGCAUGCUUUACCAUUACUUUGUUAUUACAAUGGCAAAAUAAGUUAUUUUUAAGUUUUUCUACUACCAAAAUUUUGUUAUUAUUUUUGUUAUUUUAACUCUUAUUUCAAACAAACAAAUAACACAUUUUGCCAUUCAAACAUUCUGAUUUAAUGGUAAAAUUUGCCAUUCUUUUGCCAUUAAGCUCUACCCGGGGGAUACGUUUAUAUGUAUUCAUUUAGCCUUCGUGAAGAAUAUCAAAAGGUGUUUUAUAUUCUGGGAUGUUCUAGGUGAAGUCAUUCAAAUCUACGAGAAUAAUUUUAUGUAUUUUCUCCACAAAUAAUAGCAUUGCAUAACCUACUGGGAUCCGCGAGGCUCCUGACAUCAGGGAUGGGAACACUCACUUGCAAAGAGUUACACUCACUUGCUAUUUUUUCACCUCAGAAGCGCGCAAUCAAGAAACGAUGUAUGAACGACUUUUGCCUUAUGGUUUUGUCUAAAAGUUUUCCGGGUCGGAGGGGUCGCACACGCAUACCGAAGUCGUGACAGAGCUCUGAAAGCGACUCUCCACGAGGUGAGUGUAAUUUACAUUCACCUCGUGGAGAGUUGCCUUCUCAGCUCCCUCACGAUUUCGGUAUGCGUGUGCGACCUCUACUCCAUUCGGCAAAGUUUUAGACAAAACCAUAAGGCAAAAGUCGUUCAUACAUCGUUUCUUGAUUGUACGCUUUUGAGCUGAGAAAAUAGCAAGUGAGUGUAACUUUUUGCAAGUGAGUGUUCCCAUCCUUGCCUGACAUUUACAAUACCAAUUAGAGACAUUAUAGGGAUAUUCCAGGUCAGCCAAACUACCUUGGAGUUCAGAACUUCAGGUCUACACUCGUAACAAUACGCUUAGUUGAUUAAAGCAACCACUGUAACUUCCAGAAGACUAACUAGCUUUUAAUGAAAGAAGUUAGCGUUACACCCGUAUACAUUAGGAUCCAAACUCAAGAACAGUUUGGAUGACCUAGAAUAUCCCGUCUGAUCUGAUAUUGUCUAUUAACCUUUCAGAUGAAUUACUGGACAUGAUAGAUUACAAAUCGUAGCUUUGUAUAAUGAAAGAAGUUACUGUUACACCCGUAGGCUUUGGGAUUCAAACUCAAGAACAGUUUGGAUGACCUAAGAUAUCCCAAACGAUCUGAUAGUGUCUAUUAAAACUUUCAGAAGGCUUACUGGACAUGAUAGUUUACAAAUCGUAGCUUUGUAUAGUAAAAGAAGUUACCGUUACACCCGUAGACUUUAGAAUCUAAACUCAAGAACAGUUUGUAUGACCUAGGAUAUCCCUACUGAUCUAAUACUGUCUAUUGAACCUUCAGAAGACUUACUGCACAUGAUAGUUUACAAAUCGUAGCUUUGUAUAAUAAAAGAAGCUAUCGUUACACCCGUAGACUUCAGAAUCUGAACUCCUAUGUUACGAGAGAACGGAGCAUAGUUAGUGAGUAACAUACACAUAAAAAUCAUAAACACAACAUAAGAAAUUCAUUGUCCACAGAUUCCUUGAGAAAGGCACAAUAUAGUGACCGAAACGUCGGAUGAAAACUUAACAAUCCGUUUUUGAGUUUUUCUUCCAAGACUGAAAGCCAUAACCUCAAAACAAAUCUAAACUCAAGAAUAGUUUGGAUGACCUGGGAUAUCCCGCCUGAUCUGAUACUGCCUAUUGAACUUUCGGAAGACUUACGGGACAUGAUUGAUUACAAAUCGUAGCUUUGUAUAAUCAAAGAAGUUACCGUUACACCUGUAGACUUUAGAAUCUGAACUCAAGAACAGUUUGGAUGACCUCGUAUAUCCCGACUAAUCUGAUACUGUCUAUUGAACUAUCAGAAGACAAACUGGAAAUAAUAGAUUACAAGUCAUAGCUUUGUAGAAUUGAAGCAGUUACCGUUACAACCGUUGAUUUUAAGUUCUACCGCUUUUAUACUAUUAACCACCAAAACUACAGAAAAACGUAGAAAAAAACCCCAGAAUUUGAAAGAGGAACAAUAGUUUUAUCAUACACUAAUGGAAGAUUUCCCGGAAACAGCCGAAAAAUCAACUUAUUUCAUUUUGAAUGUACGGUAACGGUUUCCAUCAAAUAUAUUUUUCAUUAUUUUCCAUAUAUUAUAUGAAAAACUAAACGUCAAUUUGUUUGGGUUUCAAAUAAACAGAAUAACAACAUUAACCUUCUUUAACAAACUGCAUCGUUGAAUUGAUUGACAAUGACAAUCAAUUUUAUUCACUUUGUACGAUCAAAACUUGCACGCGCUGUUAGUUAUAUGAAAGAAAACGGUUAAAAUUCAGCUUCACUGAACCUCUUCUGAUAAGCGUAAAAAAAACAUUUGGACACUGCUUAACUGUCAAACGAUUACAUGAAAACUACACUUGGCCAAAACACAACGGAAAACCCAAUUGAUUCAUUUUGAGUUUUUCCACUUAUGAUCGGGUUUCGAUAUGAUUUACUCCACAACACUGUAUUGAACUUAUAUAUCUCUUUUCGACGAAUAAGAAUAAUUUUACGCAUUAAAUGUGGACGGACAGGAUAUUGAGUACAAUUGUUUUCAUUACGAACCCAAAUCCUGACUCAUAACAUUCGUUUGAUAGCGCAUUAGUAAAGUGACGUCAACAACAUUACUUGCGUAACAACCAGGAGAAAAGAUUUAGUAUGCGGUGACUGUAAAAAGAUAACACAGUAAUUUGGUUGCGUGGUUUUCAUUACUAAAUUUAGAAAAAAAGCUUUAUUUUGAGAGAUUUAGUCAUAGUGUUGUGAAUGUUUGGCUCCGGGAAUGUAAUUUGAAAGUAAGAUCAGUGAACAAACAGCGAUAGUGCUUCAGUAGAAAUAUAAAAAAAAAUCUGAGAAUAAGUGGUUUGUACCGUAGACCAACGUUGCAUUCUAAUCGCAUCGAAUCAUUUCAACGUAAUUGAGUGAGUUUUUGAACAUUUACUUUAGCUUUGAUGGGAUCAAAAUACCAUUUCUAGUGCUAUUAAUUCACGAGUAUGAUCAACAAUGUCAUAGGCGGCCGGCAUAUUAGGCCGAGGUAUGGUACACAUACCCUAUAUCCCCUAUCCAGGGAUUGCAUAACCGACCAAAGAUGACUUCUAGAUCUCACAUCCUACCCUGCUAACAAAUACCCCUUCCAUGCUGGUUGUGGGAACGCAGAGUGCUCUUGGUCUCUUGUAGCAACAACCAUCACACUAGCAUGACUGUAAGGACUUGUUCAACUGUAAGGACGGUCCCAGCCUUUAUUCAGCUGGACCUCAAUGCAAUUCAUACCAGAUCAGAUCAGUCACACUAAAGCUGAGCUCAUUCCUGGAGGAUCUUCCGGAAGCAUCUCCGGAGGAACUUCAGGAUAAACUCACGGAUGAUGUCCUGUAAGUAUUCUCUGAAUAACUUUUGGAAAACUGCCGGAGCAAAUCCUGGAAGAAUUCCUUAAGAAGCUUCUGAAAAAAAAAACUCGCGAUAGAAUUUAUGGAGUAGCUUUGGAACAAACUCCUAGAGGUACUUCUAGGUCUAGACGAAUUUCCGGAAGAGUUCUAAAAACCAACUUCUGAGAGAACUGCUGGAAGAAUUUCCGAAGGAAGAUCUGAAAGAAUUUCGGAAAGUAUUUCCGGGUAAGUUUUCCCGGAGGAACUCCUAGAGGAAUACUCAAUGAAGCUCGUGAAGAAAAUACAAAUGGGAUUUGUGGAGGAAUUCUCAGUGGAGUUCCACUAGGAGGAAUUCCUGGUGCAAUACCCGGUGAAACUCCUAGAGGGAUUUUCAGCGGAACUUCGAGAGAAAUUACCAGUGGAACUCCUGACUGAAUUACCCGUAAAACUCAAAGAUGAAUUUCUAGUGAAAUUCCUAGAAAAAAAUAUGGUGAUAUUUCAAGAAAAAUCGAAGUGGCACUAUAACUUCUUAAUGAUUGAAGAGUAAACAUCAGAACCUCUGGAAGAACGCUUGAAGUUGGAAUUUCUAACAGAAAUUUCAGUGAAACUCUCCAAUAAAUUUCCAGUGGAACUCCUAGGGGAAUUUCCGGUGAAACUUGUGGAGGCAUUUCCCGGUGGAAUUCCUAAAGUAACAGAUCGAAAUCCCAAACAAUCAAUACAAUAGAUAGCACUUUUGCGGUUUUUUUUUCGGCAAAAAGGUAUUACGGAACAUGGACUACAAACAAAAAGUUGUCAAGCAAAACCAUUUUGUCGGUUUCAGUUCAGUUCCGUUUUCAAACAGUUAUCGUUUUUCCCGAUUUACUUUACGAUUUGACAGUUCUCUACUUGUGAGCUUGCGGUGAAAACUUGAGGAGGUUGCGAACCGAGAGUAUCACAAACGAUGAGGUCGCCGUCGGGCUGUCAGCACUGGAAACUGAAUGCUAUAAAGGUUUUCGUCUGUACCAAUGCCAAUGCCAAUGGGGCGCAAACUGGAGGCAAUCAAUGGGAAUGUAAACAGAAGAAGUCAUAUUACUCCCAGUAAAUAUCUAAAGAAUUUUUUAGCGGAAUCUCUAGGUAAAUUACUGGUGGAUUUCCAAGAGAAAUUGCUGGUUAAACAUAACUUCCUACAUAACUUCUGAAUUCUUGAAGAUGAAACAACAGGAAGAAUCUUCGGUAGAACUCCUGAAAGAUAUUACUUUGAAUUAAUAAUGGAACUUCCACGGCAACGUUGGUAUUACGAUUUCUUACCUAAUUCGAUGCUAUUAGAGCAAAACUUUGGGGUACUGAGUUGUUGAAGAAACAAGAAUGGGAAUACAACAGCACAGUAACCCAAAAUUUUUCUCAAACAUCUCUCUCUCGUUUGUCGGGUGAAGAUCGCCGCGUCCAGAUUUUAGAACUAUUGUGAUAUACCCUUUUGCUGUGAGGUACGCAGGUUAUCUCAGUAACAUAUUUGUCACUGAGAUACAUUGGUAUCGACUGAACUCAAGACCAUCUAUUAUUGAUGAAUAGAGAUCCUGAGUUACAGUAUGUGACUCCCCCAUUCUGGCGAGACUAGCUUUAUGAAGCCAACCACGUCCUUGGGAGAUAAGAUCCAUAUGUCAGCAGGCCCUAAAAAGGGCUUGCUGAGAACUUUGAACCUACGUUGAGUGAGUGCACUGCAAUAGCAGAGGAUGUGUUCUGAUGUUUCCCUCUCCUCGUCACAGAAGCGGCAAUUUGAGGUUUGGAUUGCUCCGAUCUUUUGUAGAUGGUAUCUGCAGGGGCAGUGUCCAGUUAUUAGACCGGUGUAGAUGUUGAGAUCCCUUUUGUUGAGACCUAAUAGUUGUUUGGUUUUCUUGGGGUUUAUCGUUACGAGCCUUUUAGAUUGGCUCGUAUGGGGAAGUGCAUUCCAGUUUGAUGUGAUUUGACUGACCAUAUAUUUGUUCAGAUCCAUUUUUACAGAGCAGUCUGAGAUCCCGCAGAAGGGCUCAGGGCCAAUGAACCUUUCAUUAGAUCCAUUUCUGGCUAGCUCAUCAGCAAUCUCGUUUCCCUCUAGACCCGUAUGUCCUGGGAUCCAAUAUAGGUAGACUCGAUUGCGUAUGAAUAAGUUUUUCAAAGCCAGAAUGCAUUCCCACACUAGCUUUGAGUUACAAGUGUAGUUAUUAAGCGACUUAAGUGCCGCUUGGCUGUCAGAGAAAAUACAUAUUUUUGCAAACCUAUACUUUCUCCUCAGGCAUAAUAACACGCAUUCUAAUAUUGCAUAUAUUUCCGCCUGAAAUACUGUGGGCCACUGUCCUAAGUGGACAGAGAUUUUUGUUCUAGGGCCAUAGAUUCCGGAGUCUGUCAGAUUAUUCAUUUUCGAACCAUCUGUGAAGAAAUUUAUAGAGCCCGUUGUUUGUUCCAUUUCAUUGCAGAAUCGGAGGUCCAUCCAGCUCAUAACUACAAAUCUAGUACUUCACCGAGUACGUCCUAUGAGGGUUGAGAUAUUGUAUGUUGCUUUCACAACAAAACGCGCAGCCAACUUUCAGUCGGCGUUUUAGAAUCAUCGCGACGAAUCAACCUUUGCUGCUGUUUGUGUUAGUGAGAUCGGAGAAACGUCAGACUCCCACACGCUGAUUGGUUGGCGACAACUCUGGCGAUGGUUUCACUCGCGACGGAUUCAAAUCGUCGCGUUCGAUAAGUGGAAAAAUCAACAAAACUCCACUAAUUUUCAAAGUGCACCUUGAACAGCUCAGACAUUUAGAAUGCUAAAAACGCCGGCCAAGUCACUUAGGAAGAGGAAGGAAUGUUAGCUACUAAAGACCGAAGGAAGGAGUGUAAAGCCUGUAUCCGCAAUAAUCAGGACACAGAAGUACGGCUGUAGCUCUGUAAUGAAUCGGUAAAAUUGGCCAAAUAAUUGACUGAGAACUCUUUGGUGUAUGUUUAUUAAUUGUGCCAAAUUUCAUUAAAAUCGAUGCAUUACUUUUAACUGUGGAUGAAAAAUAAACAGACGUGGUUUUACGCAUUUUGUACAAUCUUGCCCACUUUUCAUUCGCAUAAUAGAUAGUUCUUUUGCGCUACAGUAUAAAGUACUGUGAAGAUAAUUAUGAAAUUUCGUUAGCAGUUAUGAUACUUACAGAGACACUUUCUUGCAAAAUGUCAUCAACUUUGAUCAAUUAGUUUGAAAGUUACAGGUGUUGAUAGGGGUGAGUGUUAGUGAAAAUUUUUCGCGCUUUUUAUGUGCGAUGUUUUCCUAUUCAUACCUUUUGAAUUUCUCUGCCAAUUUUCAUGAAAUUUUCACAGAAGGUAGUUGAUUAUGUGUAUAUUAUGCCUGCAAAAUUUGAUGAUUAUUGUUAUAGUACUUUCAAUAGUACAAUCGAAGCAAUAAAGGGUGCUAACUAAUUGCUGUCUGAGGGGCCAAAAUCACGUUCAGUCCCAAUACAUGUUUCGACUAUAAAAUUGUUGAUAGUGCAUCGAUUUUUUUGAAAUUUUGCACAUACAACAAAUGUAGUUUGAGAGGUUUGUGUUCAAAAUUUUAGCCAUAUCCUUUUCCAUAUUCAAAAGUUACAGCGCUGACAAGCAAAACUAGGGGCUGUACAAAAAUCAAUGGCGCACAUUCUACUCUUUCAUUGCUACAACAAAAGGUACUGCAUCAAUUCACAUGAAAUUUUGUAGGUGAAAUGAAUACAUCUGAAGAUGUUAUUAAGCCAAAUUUGAAAGAUUUUCAUGCGUCUAUUGCAGAGUAAUAGCUGUAUUUCUGUGUCCCGAUUAUUGCGGAUACAGGCUUUAGCUACUAAAGACCGAGAGUUCCUCUGCUUCUCCAUUACUAACAUGGGAAUAGUAUAAAACGAGCUCACACAUUAUCUUGAAACGAAUUUACUUGUUCAUCGUAGAGGCUUAUCAUUAAUCAUUUAUCUGCACGCAACUUACCAGCGAUGAGCAUGAAAAAACUGACCUGAGUUCAUUCAAAUCGUUCAAUUUCAACGGAAAACCAAUUAGGUUUGCGCUUGAACCGUCUUCGAUCGAAGACAGUUAUGUAGAGUUAGCAUGAGAUGAUGGUAUGCAGAACUUUUCGCAUAGCUACUAACCUAUUCUAUUCAAAACCUAUUGAAACGGAAGUGACCGUGCAGUUCCUAGACAAAGUUUCUACCGUGUUUGCCCCAGCCGCACUGGAUCGUCGAGACAAUGAGAAGAACCUCCGCAAUCCGAACGAUCAUCAUCAUCAUCAUCGUGGUAUGGUAUAUUGACCGACCGGUGGAACUGAUGAUGAUGAACGCUUUAGCGGUAAAUGUGGGUUUUGUCCAACAAAUCAACAAAAAACCCGAACCGCCGAACCGUUUAUCUUUUCUGAACUUUUGCACGACGACGUUAAGUCGUUUUAUGGCGACAGACGGACACAGCACAUCCUAAAUCGGCGCUUUACGGUGGCUCAGUCGGUUUCAUUUUUGACGAUGAGAAGUGCUAGGCAGGGAUGGAUCGUGAGAAAUGUGGAUGUGGAUACCUGUGGUACCUCGUUUACUGUUUGCUGAAUAGUUUUCGGGUAAUUGUCGUUGUGGAAUCCACAAUGUGGAUGCUACGUGAAUCUAUUUACCUGGCCAUCGUUAUCUCUUAUGGACCAUUUGGAUGAAAGAAAGUAAAAUUUCGAUGGAGUCUUGCAUUUCAGGAGACAAAGUGCGAUUACCAGGUGUCAUGUAAGGUGUCACGGGAAAUCCAAGUAAAAUUUUAAAGUUAAACAGAUUCUGGGAGUUACUCAGAACCUUUAUAAAAUCAAAAUAAAACUAAUUGGAGUGUUAUGACUCAGCAGCUCUUCAAUGUUAAUUGCUUUUCAAAUUGCUGCUUGGAGGAAAACAUUGAUCGUCAUACCUAUUUGACCUGCAUAACCAAUUCCUUCCAAGGUGGAGGCAGAAUGAUUAAAUGAUGAUGAUCGUUAUUGGCGGUUUAAUAAUAUAAUUGUUCCGCUUGUAUUUUGAAUCGAAGGGAUCAUUCUCAGAGGGCAAUUAUGGAGCUGUGGGGUAUCACAGCAAAGCCAAUUUCGUCCCACGUCAUCUUACUUUGCCAAUAAGCACAAACAGAAGAGUUGUUCUUGGCGGACAUUCAAAUUAUAGCUUCACAUAAUUGUAACGGAAAUUAAUCCGCGUGCUCAUCCACACUGUGGUUUGGACUAAUGGAUGCAUCAGGUUCUUCACUCAAUUGUCUAAACGUAAUUGACGAAACAGUUAUUAUUUUUGACGGAACCAAUUUCGGGCCAAAUAUGCCAAACUUAAUACCUUGGUAAUGAUAUUUUUUCACGCGAAUUUGACGGAGACAUUCUCGGAAUAUUGGUACCUGAAUCGACGUCAACAACGAUUCCGGCAUUUUUUGACGGUGGUCAUUUGCCAUGCACUGACCGGAAGAUUUGAUUGUAAUGAGAAAACUCAAAACUGCUAGAGGCUAUAAUUGAGUUUAACGACGAGCUAUGUUUUCGCCAGCUUCGGUUGCAGUGUUCUGCGCGUUCUUCAUACUUAUACUCUUGUUCGGUAGCCACGUUCUACAGAGGCUGCCUGAAAUUAGUUCCCUAUGGAGGCUUCUAAAUAGCACCUGCCAGCAACCAUAUGCAUGUGCACCGAGAUUGGCACUUCGCGCCAAUGCACCUUGAAUCUGCAGCGAUCAACUUUUGUCCAACCGGAAUGCAUAUGUAAAUCACUAUGGUCGGUGUGCAUGCUAUGUGGUGGUCAAAAACAAAAAAAUCUCUAUCUUGAUAUUUAUUUGAUCAUCGGUAGGCAUAUCUUGAUAUUGUUUUGAUGUUGUAAUAUCUAAACGAGAUAUUGUUAAGCACUUCCCCACACUAGCUCUUGAUAUUGUUUCUGAUCCUUUAGCUAUUAUCUUAAACAAUUCGAUAUCAGCUUUUGUUUUUCAGUAAUUCAUUAUAUAACUGAAUAGGUUAUUCGUGAUUUUUUUCACCUACUGGUGAACAUUCAUGAUAAAAUAUGAGUAAAAGCAAGUCACCUUUCCGAUUUUUGGCCACCUGACAAGCAACUGUGCAUAGGUGACCCACUGAGCCAAGGCGCACCACGAUGCAUGCAGCAAGGGGCAGGACAAACUCGUCUAAUUCGAAGGUGCAGGUGCACUCUACGGUUCGCAAGAAUGCGAAAUGGCCAACUUUCCUCCUCUCAACAACGUUCGGUUGCUGAGUUUCUAAGCGUUUUAGUUUCUUCUCCAGCAGUAGCAGUGGCAAGCCAAGAUCAGCUCAGCACCCGGGAGCAGGAGGAGAUGGGAACGAUGACCUAUUUUAUUCCGCAAGGCGCACAAGCCUGGGGUUGCACUCUACGCUCCAUAGCUGCAUACCUACACAGAUGGGACGAGAAGGGUAAGUACAUUGCUUGCAGUUGCAGUUGUUCCGUUUUGAGUCAGACGGAGAGUGGUUUUUAAUUGAAUUUUGUGUGUAUUAGGUUGGAACCUAGUGGGCCAUAGUGGAUGCUGGUCUGUAGGCAGUUUUAAGCCUUGAAGCCAAUGCAAUGUACGUGAUGUAAUCCGCCAAAUUGGGUUCUGAGAGCAUUUGAUUGGGUUCAAGCAUACAACCAGUCACAGAGAACAGACAUCCAGGCUAGAACAAAUUUCAUUCGGAAAGUUGUGUGAGGAUUUGAAUCUUUACUUGAGUAAGGUUGCAAACCAAUACACGAUGACAACACAAACGCCACCAAACACCAUAUUGCCACAGUCAGUGGUGAAUUGAAACAUUUUAAGAGGUGAAUUAAAUUAGUAUGGGAAAUUAACCGAUUGCAGCGCCACGCUAUUGCCACUUGAGUUGCCGAUUUCAAAUGGCCGUUAAAUUCCUUACACAGCUUCGGAACUGGUCUUGGAUGUCUGUUCUCUGUGAACUAGUCGAGGUUUUCUUCGAACCAGGACAUACCAUGAAAUGUUCACAACGGUCGUCAAAAUGUUCUGGAGUUGAUAACUACAAGCUAUACAUAUGCAUUGUUUUGUAUAAUAUUUGUAAAAAAUCUAGCUUAACUUAGACUGACUGUGCAUGUCAAUAGUUGCUCCUCCGUGAUUGAUCCGAGCUGGUAUAAAUUGCACUUCAUUUAUCCACAAUGUGUAACUUUCGCCGCGCCGAUAUUUUUAGAUAGUUAUGGCGCCAGCUGUAAGGACAGCUGAGAAGAGAAAGGAAUGUUAGGGUGUGAUGAUUAUACUUACUAGAGUACCUCAAUACUCUUUGAAUCUUCUUAUACUGUUUGGUUUUAAUAUGGAAAGAGCUCACCAAUAUAACCCCAUUCACGUGUUCACCGGAUAGAGAAAUCAUGAAAAACUACUCGGCCACUGCCACUGAUUGGCAUCGUUCGACCGAGUUUCGUAAAAAAACAGAUGUUUUCUUUUUCACCAUAUCUACAUUAGAUAGAAUCCAUUCAGGUAAAAUCUAUUUAAGUACCUCCAUUUAGGUAACGUUACCUAAAUAGAAUUUGAUUGUGUUUAGAACAGUUAGAAUACUCAAUAUCAGGGAUAAGGUUGCGUUUCGGGACAGAAAUAGCGAGUUGUUAAAGGGAGUUUAGGUCGUAUUCAGGGGUGAGAGAUGAGGAAGGUUAGGGUCUAUUUAAGAUUAAAUACCUCCUGUAAUGCCCCUGAGAUCCUCCGGAAUUCCCCAAUACGCCUCUGAAACCCGCUGAAAAUUCUCUGAAACUUUCUGAAAUGGCUCCGAAAACCCCUGAAACCCCUUCGGACCGUCUGUAACGCGCAUGAGAACCUCUAAAACCUCCGAAAACGCUUCUGUAACGCCCUCAAAAUCCACUGAAAAUCUAUUGAAUCUUCCUGUAGUGUCACCGAAACGUCCUCGGCCUCGGAUCCAAUGUGCACCCUAAAACCCUCCCAAACCCUCGAAAACACCCUUUAACGCUUACGGCACCCCUCAAAAUCCUGUAAAACUCCCUGAAAUGGCUCCGAAACCCCCUGGAAUCCCUUUGGACCCUAUGUAACGCACCUGAGAUGCUCCGAAACUCCCGAAAACACCCUUUUAAAGCCUCCGAUACCCCCUGAAAAUCCUCCGAAAUUUUUUGAAAUGCCACCGAAAACAACAAAAUACUCCUUCGGUCCAUGUAACGAACGUCUACGAUCCUCUUGAAUCCCCGAAACACAUCUGUAACGCAUUUAGAACCUCCUGAAUACCUUCUGAAACUUCCUGAAAUGCCUCCGAAAGCCCCCUGAAACUCCCUCGGACCCUAUGUAACGUACCUAAGACCCUCCGAAACCCCAAAAAAACGUCCCUGUAAGACCUCCGAAACCUCCUACAAAUCCUCAGAAACUUCAUGAUAUCCCUCCGAAAACUCCCUCGGACUUCUUGUAAAGCACGUGAGACACUCCUAAACCACCCGAAAACGGCUGUGAAGCCCCCUGUAACACCUCUAAACACCCCCCUUCUCGCGGAACUCCCUUGAAAGCCCUCUGAAAUCUCACAUGGCCCCUCCUAGCCACUCGCCCUUCUAAAACUUCUUUGGAACCUUGAAAUCCAUUUAGGCAAUAAUGUGUAAAAAAUAGCAUAAGUUAAAAUUAACGAAUAAAAAAUAGAUAAUAAACUGAAUCCAUUUAGGUAAUGAGUCUAUUUGGGUACAAAUUCUAUUGAGGCAAUCUCGACUCAUUACUUUCAAUACAAACGUGACCAGUAAGGUGGCCCACACUUAUAUGAAAAACAAAAAUUUCGAAAAAUGCCAAGUUUUACCUCCUCAAUCAAUUAUUCCUUUACAUGUAUUGGAAAAACAACAAUAAAGUUUAUCCUCACUUUGCCUAGGGUAUAUUUUUUUUCACAGCCGUCGGAUCACUUCGCGGUCUUCGACAAAGUUGUUUGGCAUAUAGUCACCUACAAUAAUACCAAAGGGUUUGAUUAUUGAACGCUUACAGCGUCACCUAGCGGCAAAAUUCGAAAACUUAAAAUUUCUGCAUACAUUUGACCAAGUUUUCCCAUACAAACUUCAAGCGAUUUGAGCGCCCCCUUAGGCUCAACCGAUUUUGCUCAAAUUUUGAACGUAGCUUCUGGGAGUCCAAAACAACUAAUUUAGGAGGUAAGACUUGACAUUUUUCGAAAUUUUUGUUUUUCAUAUAAGUGUGGGCCACCCUAGUGACCAGCAUGCCACUGCUAGUUCUAAUUUGACGCUCACUUCAAGAUAAUCAGUUUUAUAGUGAUAAUUGGUCGAAUUGAUCUCGGACAUCUACAUAGAAAAAGAUCAAUAAAUCAAUACUGGGUCAAGCCGUAAGAGAAGGUCAAAUCAUGCCCAAAUUUGGACCUUCAAUAGACUAGUAAUAUAUCAACUAAUAGAGAAAAAUUGAAAAUACUCGAUGCAGUUUACGAAAACGUGCAACUACUUGACAUUUGACGGAGGUGUUUAUGGAAACAUCAUUGGAGAAACAUCUAGAAGAAGUCAUGGUAAGAAACCAAAGAAGCAUAUCUUACUGAAUCCGUCCAUCAAUCUUACAAUAUUUCAGAAAUUAUAAAAAUGUUACAAACUUAUCUAACAGUUCUUCAAAAAAAACCCUUUCGAAAUAGGGGCACGUCAGUAUCAAUUAUUCAGCAGGUUGAAUAUUCAUUCUACUCAUAGCAAAGGAUGGAAGCGCUGUUUGUGAUAUUAUUUGUGUUCAUGAUUUUUAAAUAUGAUGGUUUUGAAAGUGUGUGAUUUCCAAUAGCACUGUGGUCCUACUUGCAAAAAAAAAACAAUAGCCUCUACAGGAUCCCUAAAGGUAUCACCAGGAAUUGCCUAAUAUUAGAUUCGUUAGAAGAUUUAUUUGGGAUUUCAGAAGAAUCCGCUAGACUACUUCACUAUAUAUUUAAUAGGGUAAAAACAUUAGACUUCGCCCCCCUAAAAUUCUGGACUAAUCUUCGCCACUUCAUACAUAAAAAAUUACAUUUGUAUGGAGGGGGCGAAGAUUAGGGCAGUGGUGAAGUUUUACCCUAUAUAUUUUUUUUUCAGAAAUUCCGCAAGAGUUCUAGGGAUUUCAAGAAUUUCUCCAUUAUUUCCCUUUAGAGUGUUUUACGAUUUAAGUACAGUCAUAUCUCGAAAUAACGUAACUUUUACCUCGAUAUAUUGUAACUUGGUUUCAACUUUUUACUAUUUAAUUAUUUAAUAAUUAGCGUGAUUUACAGAAUAUUCUAUAUGAUAUAUUAAAUCCCUCCUGCAACUAAGCCUGAUAUUCAAUUAUGCGUUGUACGACCAAUUUCAAAGUUUUAUAAGCGUCACAAUUUCGGUGUAGAUAAGAAAUGUUAAUUAGCUUUUUACAGACCAACAAUUACAUCUUCUACUCAUUCUUGACAUUACAUCCCUACUGGGACAUAGCCUUUAAACUCCAAACGGGAUGACAGUAGACAGUAGGUGUAAGAACGCCAGUAACGAAAAAGUCCGCUUUGUCUUAGAGGGAAUCACUAGAGUAGUUCUCUGAUAAAUCCCUGGAAGAACUUCUUGAGAAAUCAUUGGACAAAUCCGCGCAGAAAUCCUCAGAACUAUUGAAGGAAUUCCUAAAGACCUUUAUGAAUAAAUGGUGGAACUGCUGGAGGAAUGCCUGGAAAAAAAUCCGUGCUUGAUCCCCGGAGGAAUCUCUACCGCAAUAAACACAGUUAUGCCUGAUAAGAUUUGCAAAAAAUAAAAUUGGAAUAAAUAAUUACACGAGGAAUUUCUGUAAAAAUCUCAGCAGGAACCACUGGACAAAUUCUAGCACUGGAGGAAUCCUAGAAGGAAUUUCAAGAGGGGUCACAGUGAGAACUCAGGGACAAUUCCUGAAAUAAGUAUUACAAUCCUGGAGGCAUCCCAGGAAGAAUUCCCUAAGCUGAGAUUUCUGUAAAAAUCACAUCAGGAAUAUCUGGAGGCAUUUUUGAAGAUAUUUCUGUGGAAUUCAUUACUUUUUUAUCUCAGAAAGGAAUUUCUGAGGAAUCUCUGGAGAAAUCAGAGAAGUUUUCCUAGCAGAAUCUGAGGAGGAAAUCUUUUGGAAACUCCAUCAAAUUGUGCUGGAUGAGUUAAAGCAAGAAUACCUGGGUGAAUCUUGGCAAAUAUCCCGAGUAACACACUUGUCAUAGAAGAGUCACUACGAUUCACUUCUAUCAAGUAAUAAUUCAUUUGUUAGAUAUAAGACACAGUGACUCUUGUGCAACAAAAACCUGCGCCGCCGUGAAUCUUCUGUGACAAACUUGGGACUUGGGACUCUUUGAGCAGGAAUAGUUGAAAUAUUGGAGCUUUUUCGGAGGAUCCUUGCAUGAGUAGCUAGAGGAAUCCUAGUAGAAAUGUCAAGAGGAGCGACAGAAUUAAACCUUGGAAAAAUGUUGGACAGAAUGAAUCUUGAAAAUGAAAUCUCUUUGGGGAAUCCUACAUAAAUCCCUUGAGAAACUACAGUGGGAAUUUCUGGAGGAAUCAUAUCAAGAACUUCUGGAGAAAUUACGGCAGGCGUUCCUAGAGAAAUCAUAGCAGAUAUAAAACUAAAUAAGAAUUUAUGGAGGAAUCAUAGAAGCUAGAAGGAUCCUUUUGGAUAAUACUCCCUAAAGAACUCCAGGAUGACUCACGUGAGGUAUUCCAUGAGAAACACAAUCAGGAACUUCUGUGUGAAUUCCCGAAUUAAUUCUAGAGGAAUCCCAAGAGGAAUUCUUGGAGGUAUCAUCGGAUGAAAAUUUUGCCUUGAUGUAAACCCCUGCGUCACAUAGAUUUGAAUCUUGAUUUUUACAACAUUGGUUUAAAUAGUUAAAUGUAAAGAGACAUGCUAAGAAUUCAACUUAUGUACAUAUGAUCUUACAAACUUUUGAAAAAAAAAAACAUAACAAAGGCUGAACUUCACUGUUGGGUGAACAACAUGAUCUUUAUGGUAAUUAUCAUUUCAAAAUAUGUAUUUAAAACGAAAUUCAGGCAAAACAUUUUUUGCUUCGAUACGUAACUUUGAUAUAACGAACGAAAAUAAAAAUGCAGUUACGUUAUAUCGAGGUAUGACUGUAACAACAUUUCUAAUACUGGCAUUAAAACUAGGCACGAAAACUAGUACUGUCCUGGAAUCGGUUCCGGGUGUCACUCCAGAAAUGGGCAAAUGUAGAUGGGAACCAAACCCAUGUAUGACGAAUUUCGCGCCAACUCGACCAGUGGUUGGCAACACCCUCUCAGAAUCGAAUGAAACUUGGUGGGCAUAAAGACUAGGUUUUUAUAAGCAACUUUGCAUACUUAAAUUUUCGAAAAUUUUCAAGAGUAACAUUUGAAGAGGGCCUAAUUUUUUUUCGAAGAAUUUUUUAAAAUCGAUGUAACUCAAAAAUGACAAGACCUAUAGAAAAGUGUUGUAUGGGGGACUUUUAGAGAAUUGUCCAAGCUUUCAUGAAAAAAUAUUUUCAAAAUUCUAAAUACAUUUUUACACGCUAAAAAAUAUAUUUUUAAAAUUAAAAGUCAAUUUACAGAAAAUGCCCACUUUUUCAUGUUUAGAAAUUUUUUUCCAAGAAAGUCAAUAUUGUUGCCUAACUUUCCUCCAUACAUCACAAGAUGGGCACUUUUAAGGAAAAAAGUUUUUCUAACAAAAACUAUUUCAUGUUAUUUUUCUUUAGCGUGUUGCGCAUUAACUCGUACAGGAUGUAUCAAGAAUCCUUAUACCCAUUUAAUAACACUCAAUGGGCAUUACAACUUUGUUUGAUUGGGUGCCUUCUUUUUCUUGGCGUUACAUCCCAACUGGAAUAGAACCUGUUUCUCAGCUUGUUUUGAUAUCUGAAUGCUUAAAACAGCAUUCUGUUUGCUGAAAUUGUAUUAUUGUGUGCCUAGAACCAGUGAACUAACAUCAUUAUUAGAAGCGAAUGAUAAAGAAUCGGUUUUAUUUCAACAAUGGCUAACCACUGAUCAAUGCAAUUUGGAAACUAUUACUAAGACUAUAGACGAGUUUGUUCCGUAUUUUGUAGAAAAAGUUUAUAAGCUUAUAACUCAUGAUUUCAUUUAUAAAGAACAAUCCUCAUUUUUGCGGGAUAAAAAAGAAUCUCUUAAACAGGGUGAAGUAUUAACAAUUUGUGACUUUUCAGAAAAUUAUUCAUUUAUCAUUCAAAAUUCAGCUCAAGGUUACCAUUGGAAUAAUUCUCAAGCUACCAUUCACCCCUUUGAAGUGUACUACAGAAAAGAAAAUAAGUUGGAAAACUUGAGCUUUAUAGUAAUAUCUGAAGUACUUACACACGAUACAACAGCAGUUCAGUUAUUUAUAUCAAAACUGCUGGAUUUCAUUAAACAAUCGAUUGAUUUCUCAAAAAUUACUUUCAUGUCAGAUGGAGCAGCAGCUCAUUGUAAGAACAAAAAAAAAUGCCAGUUUGUGCAGUUUUCGGUCCAAUUAUGGAUUGGAAGCAGAAUGGCACUUCUUCGCAACUUCACAUGGCAAAGGUCCAUGUGACGCUGUUGGAGGUACUCUCAAGCGAAUGGCAAAACGAGCAAGUCUUGCUCGAGAUUAUGGAAACACAAUCACAACUCCUCGAGAACUGUAUGACUGGGCAGUUAAACAGUCAGAUAUACAUAUAACAAAAUUGAAUUUCUGCUUUAUUUCAAAUGAACAAUAUGCAAAAAUGACGGAUGAACUUGAAGAACUAUACACAUACAGUCACGUAAAAACAAUACCUGGUACACAAAAAUUUCAUUCAUUUGUGCCAAUUUCUGAAAAUCAAAUUGAAGCGAAGAAGUUUUCGAAUUCAAAAGAUAAUCCAAAAAAGUUUACUUUGUUUCAGAUAGACUAAAGAUCUAAUAUUCAAAAAACGUUACAAUAGAAUGUAUAAAAGAAGGAUGUAUAUAUUGUAGAAAAGAAAAUAAUUGAAUACACAUAUACAUAUGUACAUAUUUCAUCAAUACACAAGCGUUUUCAUUGAUAUAAAACCCUAAAAGCAAAUUUGUCUUGAGCCCUUUCCAAUAUCAAGCACGUUUUCAAUGUCAAGCACGUUAAGAUAUUAAAAAAGUAGUUGAGCCCAUUAAGUUUUAAUGGAUUGUCAUUAGGAUUUUGGAUACAUUACUGUACGAGUUAAUGCACAACACGCAAAAAAAAAUGAAAAAGUUUUUUU